rnacentral:rRNA from 1 species
GUGCCAGCAGCCGCGGUAAGACGUAGGAGGCGAGCGUUGUCCGGAGUUACUGGGCGUAAAGCGCGCGCAGGCGGUCACGCAGGUCAUCUGUGAAAGCACUCGGCUCAACCGGGAUGUUGCGGGUGAAACCGCGUGACUUGAGGGUGGGAGAGGUCGGUGGAAUUCCCGGUGUAGUGGUGAAAUGCGUAGAGAUCGGGAGGAACACCCGUAGCGAAGGCGGCCGACUGGACCACACCUGACGCUGAGGCGCGAAGGCCAGGGGAGCGAACGGGAUUAGAAACCCCCGUAGUCC